UACAGAGGGUGCAAGCGUUAAUCGGAUUUACUGGGCGUAAAGGGCGCGUAGGUUGUUUAUUAAGUGAGAUGUGAAAUCCCCGGGCUUAACCUGGGAACUGCAUCUUAGACUGGUAAACUGGAGUGCAAUAGAGGGUAGUGGAAUUUCCGGUGUAGCGGUGAAAUGCGUAGAUAUCGGAAGGAACACCAGUGGCGAAGGCGGCUACCUGGAUUGACACUGACACUGAGGCGCGAGAGCGCGGGGAGCAAACAGG
rnacentral:rRNA from 1 species